rnacentral:rRNA from 1 species
UAGGGAAUCUUCCGCAAUGGACGCAAGUCUGACGGAGCAACGCCGCGUGAGUGAAGAAGGAUUUCGGUUCGUAAAACUCUGUUGUUAGAGAAGAACAGCGCAUAGAGUAACUGUUAUGCGUGUGACGGUAUCUAACCAGAAAGCCACGGCUAACUACGUGCCAGCAGCCGCGGUAAUACGUAGGUGGCAAGCGUUGUCCGGAUUUAUUGGGCGUAAAGCGAGCGCAGGCGGUCAAUUAAGUCUGAUGUGAAAGCCCCCGGCUCAACCGGGGAGGGUCAUUGGAAACUGGUUGAAUUGAGUGCAGAAGAGGAGGGUGGAAUUCUAUGUGUAGCGGUGAAAUGCGUAGAUGUAUGGAGGAACACCGGUGGGGAAGGCGACUCUCUGGUCUGUAACUGACGCUGGGGCUGGAAAGCGUGGGUAGCGAACAGG